AAGAGGUCAUCAUCAAAAGAAGAAAUUACACAAGAAGUUCCAACAAAAAUUACUUCCCAGCACUUUAUGUUCCCUCAAGUUUGCUUCUUGUGAGAAACACAUGAGAAGAUGAAAAAAAAAAACAAAAAAAAGAGGUGUGUGAUACUUGAGGUUGCCUCAUGGCAGUCCAGCUAAUUUUAAUUAACCUUUUGCCCUUCUACUUUUCUUUCAUAUAAAUAAAAAAUUUACUAUUUUGCAGCACUUGCACAUAUUAGGAAACACAUACUUACAUUUUGUCGACUAUUCUUUUCCGUGAGUCAGGCUGCAAUUGAAUUCUCCAAUCACCCGUGUCAAUGACAGGUUCUCCGCCUGGGGCAGUGGGCC